AUUGGCAGGGUAACUUUGCUUCUGGAUUCAAUUUUUAUAACUUAACUUGAUGAACAUAUUUUUCUACAAAAAUUCUUCAAGUUUCUUUUACAGUUAUCGGAGCUCAUUAUUUCACAAAGAUGACAGGAUAUUUACAUUAAUUUUCUAUGUGACUUGGAAGUGGAGAGGUAUAUGAAAUAGUUUUGCUGCAGUCUAUUAAAAUUACUCAGAGUCAACUUGGAAAGGUUUGUUUGUGUCUCUGGUGUAAUCACAGAUGAAGUUUAGGCUUCUAGGCAAGCCCUCUAAACCCUACUUAACCCUUAACACCCUUGUAUGACCAAUGUACCUUAACAAAAAAAUAAAUUUUCAAAAGAAGCCACCAUACUGGAAGCUAAGAAUGGUAACCUAUAUAAUUUAU